AUUUCUGAAAAAGAGAGAGCCAUAUUUCAACUGAAGUCUGAUUUUUCAGAAUACCAAUCUACUCAUGGACAUUCCAGUGAAGAGUUUGAUGCACAAGCUGCCCACCCUGAGUCUUUACCGAAGGUUAACUAAUAUCUAGUAGCAAGCUUACAGUGUAAAUGAUUUUUUUAAAACUUAAGUUACUCUGAUGCGAGCAAUUAAACUAUGGAUGUAAAGCAUAACAGCCUUAUCUAACUUUUUGUUAAUAGGUGAUGAACAAGGGUAGUACUGAUUUUUAUUAUUAUGAAUGGGAAUUUUCUCAAAUAAAAAUAUAUUUUUUAAAUAUUCAUAUUCCCUGAAAAAUGUCUAAAAACCACACUGUCAACUUUUGCAAUUCGGAAAAAAGGACUACAUACAUGUUUCUAAAAUGGUAGCUAACUGAAUUGGGACAUCUGGUAUAAUGCACAAUAAUUUCUAAUCUUAAACAAGAGCUUGCGAUGGUGAAAAAUCAAUACAAUGAACAAUCUUCUAAAGUUGAAGAAUGUGAGUGGAUCAUACAGGAACAAAAAGCUGAAGCUGCUAAUGUACUUGACCAACAGAAGAAAUCUGUUCUUGAAAUUGAAAAGCUGGAAAAGACUUUACAGUCAUUGCAUCUGGAUGUAAUAGCUUCCCAGCAGAAACACAAAGUGGAACUUGCUCAGCUAGAACAGCAGAUAACACAGCUUGAAAGGACCUUACAGAUGCCAGGAAACUUUGUAGUCAAAAAGAUCAGGCAAUACGCAAAAGAGAUGACCUUCUAAGAAAGUCGGAGGCUGAUCUCCUGCAGGCAAGGGAAGGUAUCAAAGCAAAAGUGACUGAGGUGGAGCACCUUGACAGUGUGGUCAAGAAACUGAAAGCAAGUAUCCAGGACACACAGAAAGAAAAGAAUCAGAAGGAAAGAGAAACCGUCAUACUGAGAACUGAGAUACAGCAGCUAAAUCAGGAACUGCAGGAUGUACAUAAGCAGUACAGAGACAGCCCAAGAACUUGCCAGUCAAGAUGAAAAACUUUGUCUAAUGGAAUCCAGCUUGAAAGCAACUCAAGAGAAGCUAAGUGAGCAAAUAGCAGAAACAGUUCGCCAAGAACAGAACAGUAGAAAAUCACAGACAGAGCUGAAGACCCUGAGAGAACAUAUUAUAGCUUCUGAAGAAGAAAUUAAUGAUUACAAAGAAAUGCUUGAAAAACUCAAAUUAGAGUUUAUAGCAUCAAAGCUAGAACAACAGCAAAACGUUCAAGUAAUGCCCUAUGUCCAGCAGACUUGGAUGAAUCUUGAGAGAGCGCUGGCAUCAACCAAGUAA
rnacentral:lncRNA from 1 species